rnacentral:rRNA from 1 species
UAGGGAAUCUUCGGCAAUGGACGAAAGCCUGACCGAGCAACGCCGCGUGAGUGAAGAAGGUUUUCGGAUCGUAAAACUCUGUUGUCAGAGAAGAACAAGGACGUUAGUAACUGAACGUCCCCUGACGGUAUCUAACCAGAAAGCCACGGCUAACUACGUGCCAGCAGCCGCGGUAAUACGUAGGUGGCAAGCGUUGUCCGGAUUUAUUGGGCGUAAAGCGAGCGCAGGCGGUUUCUUAAGUCUGAUGUGAAAGCCCCCGGCUCAACCGGGGAGGGUCAUUGGAAACUGGGAGACUUGAGUGCAGAAGAGGAGAGUGGAAUUCCAUGUGUAGCGGUGAAAUGCGUAGAUAUAUGGAGGAACACCAGUGGCGAAGGCGGCUCUCUGGUCUGUAACUGACGCUGAGGCUCGAAAGCGUGGGGAGCAAACAGG